AGUAGGAAGUGAAGAAUUAACGAUUCUGCAGAUUACGACUAUCACGCGGAUGGUAAGCAGUUCUGUGUGCUUAGUGCAAGUUUUUGUACGUUCUUGAUAUCGUAAAAGAUAACUCACAUUUGUAUGCAGUUGGAAUAAGAUAAGAUACUUUAAAUUAAGUGUAUACUUUCUUGCACAUCAAAAGUAACGUAAGUGUAGUAAGUAAUACAGUAUAAAUUCAAAUAAGUAAAUGACAUUAUGCAAAUGGUUUAAGAGUUACUGUCAUUGACCCGUCUAUCUACAAUCUGUAUGCAGCGUCUCCUCAAGUACUUCGGACACGUGGCCCGACAAAAUCCUGAGAACUUGGAAAAAUUAAUAGUUGUAGGUCACGUGGAAGGAAAAAGAAGUCGAGGAAGAUUGUCAACCAGGUGGACGGACAUUAUCAAGGAGGCCACAAACACCAGCGUCCCGGGCGCCAUUAAGCAGGCCGAAUGCAGGCAACAUUGGAGGAAGCUGGUGCAAAAACUGGACCAAGGUGGUCACGAGCCUCAGUAAUGAGGAAACGACAAAGAAGAAGAAGAAGAAUUGAACAGCGCCCCUAGCGGCAAACGUUCCAACUCCAUACAAAUUUGAGUUAACUUUUACGCUAUCGAGUACGUUAAGAAACUCGCACUAAGUACACUGAUUGAGUCGGUGAGUCGUCACCGUCGCUACCAGGGGUGUUAAAGUUUAACCAAACUAUUUGGUGUCAGGACAAAAUGUUCAACGAUAUUUUGUGUUCCAUAAUUAAAUUGGACGAUACCUUUUGCCUGAGAAACAUAUUAGUACAGGAUCCCUGGUACACUUUUCAUCAUUUAUUACUAACAAGCUGAUUUUUCGUGAGUACCUUCCUUUUGAUUAGACUCCCAACUUUUUUCCUUACAGUAACUUUGGUAAAUGGUAGCUUACUAGGUGUAGCAAGGAUACAAUAUGUUGAUUUCACGAAUUAAAAAAAAUAUUACUAACCGAAUUUUUCUUUGUUAAUGAAAAAAUAUUAUAUAUUAUAUUAUAUAUUAGUUGUGUCUACAUCUACAACAGAUACGUCGAUCUUGAAGUAUCAAUAAUUUGCUAACCACUUAACACCAGGUGGGCUGUGAGCUCGUCCACCCAUCUAAGCAAUAAAAAAAAAAAAGAUCCCAAAAAUAUAUUAAGCCAAUCUUGACUAAAGCCAAUUAAAUUAAGAUAAGCCCACGUAUCGUGCAACACGAAGCGUUCUUCGUCCAGGAAGUCACGUCUCCAAAUGUCUCUAGAAACGCGGCUGGGACUUCCGUCGGUGAUUCUAUAUCAACUUAUUGACAUUCCUGUUGCAUCCGCACUACCUAAGCUUGAUUCGGUAACGCUCUGUAUUAUAAAACUGUUGUAUAGUACUACUGUUUGAUAAAUCAUCAAUUAUACUUGUUUGUAUAAUGUUCAUGUUUUUGAUUUGUUUGAGCAACUCAUGAAUUGCGGUUAUGGGUUGAUCGAAAUUAUAGGCACAACCUUAUCCUUUGGUAUCAACCCGUGUGGAUUCUUUACCACCACCAGUCAAGAUAGGCAUUAGAGAAAAAAUAAAGAAACUGUAGAUAUGGCUUAUGGACGAUAAAGAAGUAAUAGUAGUCGUCGACCAAUGAGGCCAUAUGUGCAAAGAUAAAUAGACUAUUUUCACGGAAAUUCCAGAGUCAAAAUAAUCCAGAAAAAAUUUAUUUAAGAACAAUAAUUCUAUACCCGAAUUUUUUUUGUGAUGUCUUGAGAUUAUGUUUAGUGUAAGCAAUUUUAUUCUAAUUGAAAACAGCUAUAUUGCACUUUUUGAGUGUUUGUAAUAGAGUAAUCAACAUUUAUAACGAUGCUUAUUUGUGUAAAUUUGAUGAUUAAAAACAUCAUUCAGCAAUUUAACAUUUGACAGUUGCGAAAUUGACCAGAAAGAAAACCAACUCAACAAAAUUACGAUAGGAUUUGAGAAAAUAAUAAUAAAAUUUAAAAGUAUAAUUGUGUAAUGUACCCAAACUUAAAAAAAAGAAUUACUGUUACAAGCGUGUUAAGAAUGGAGAUACUGUUGCAAGUGAAUUUGUUGAUGGUGUUUUUUAAAUCAAGCAUGAUUAAACAGAGGUGAAGCCAUUCCAAAAUCUAAGACGGAAGUCAUCAGCAAUACAAGGCAGUGAUGAUACAAUCACAUGUAAUGAAAUCCAAAGAACGAUCAAAUAGAAGCACUACUGCGAAUACUUAUGAUUGAGAAUGUACAAAAGAACACGGAGGUCCUCAUCACACAUGGAAAGGAAAUUAUUGAAACGGGAAUGGUCACUUACAACUGUUUUUUCUUUCUAGCUGAAAGUGUCCAUUUCCGUUUUGAUACUAUGCCUAUCAUAUCUAAUAGCGAUGUCCAUCUUCACCAUUACAACCGCCCUCAUCAAAAGGUCCAUAGAUGAAAAGCCAUCGCGAUUGCCAACUAAUGAAUCAAGAUAACGGAUGACCAUGUAUUUUCUUAAAUAGUUUAGUAAGUUCAUGAUGUCGUAUAUAGAACAUGAAAACUGUAUAGAAAUGUCAGAAAUUGUAUAAUGAAAAUAAACGAGAUUUAACUUUUAA